CAGUCCCGUCCGUCUCCUCUGCACCCAACCGUCCGCCUCCUUACCGCGCGUCGCCCCCGGCAGCCUGCCGCACCCCGCCCCCGGCCGUCGUUCCCCGCCGGCCGCCGCCCCCAAUCUCCCUUUCUUCGCACGCACGCGCACGCAGGCUGUUCGUAGGAACCCAUCCUUCGCACGAGCACGCAGGCUGUUCGAUUGAUCAUCUUGCUUUGCAGGGCGACAGGUUCAUCCCGGAGCGGUCGGCGAUGGACAUGGACUUUGCGCAUUACCUGCUGACGGAGCCGAGGAAGGGCAAGGAGAACCCGGCGGCGGCGGUGUCCCUGGCCAAGGAGGCGUACCGGAAGCUGCUGGUCGAGAAGCUGCUCAACAACCGCACCAGGAUACUCGCCUUCCGGAACAAGCCGCCAGAGCCUCAGAACAUGCUCACGGAUCUCCGUUCUGAUGUGGUCCAAGCCAAGCCGGCGAAGCAGCGCCGACACAUUCCUGGAUGAUGGUUGCGGUUGAAGUGUGAAUCCAUGAUGGUUACUGACUGAAUGUGCCUUGUCAAUUCACGCAGUCUUCAGAGAGGACUCUGGAUGCGCCAGAGCUCGCUGACGAUUACUACCUCAACCUGCUAGAUUGGGGAAGCAGCAAUGUGCUGUCCAUUGCGCUAGGCAGCACGGUGUACCUCUGGGAUGCCUCCAGUGGGUCUACUUCUGAGCUUGUUACCGUUGAUGAGGACUUUGGUCCCGGCACAAGCGUUAGCUGGGCUCCUGAUGGCCGGCACAUUGCUGUAGGCCUGAACUCCUCUGAUGUCCAGCGUUUUGACACUACCUCGAACCGACUGCUGAGGGCACUGCGAGGUGUGCAUGAGUUGAGGGUCGGUUCUCUGGCAUGGAACAACAGCAUCUUGACAACUGGUGGCAUGGACGGCAAGAUCAUGAACAAUGAUGUGAGGAUCAGGAACAGUAUUGUGCAUAGGAUAGGUGAUGUUUUGGUUAGUGCGAGAGUAGGAUAGAGUAAUGUUGAGGGAUGGCAUCAUUGUAUAAACUUUUUGAUGGAUAUUGUUCUAUUUAUGUGGACCAAUCACUUCAAUGGAAGAACAUAUAAAAUUUAACUUUUUUUUC